UACGAGGGGGGCGAGCGUUGUUCGGAAUUAUUGGGCGUAAAGGGUGCGUAGGCGGUUUGACAAGUCUUGUGUGAAAUCUCUGGGCUCAACCCAGAGGCUGCACAGGAAACUGUCGGGCUUGAGGAUGGGAGAGGUGAGUGGAAUUUCCGGUGUCGCGGUGAAAUGCGUAGAUAUCGGAAGGAACACCUGUGGCGAAAGCGGCUCACUGGACCAUUUCUGACGCUGAUGCACGAAAGCUAGGGGAGCAAACA
rnacentral:rRNA from 1 species